AAUUUUGGACACUGGGGGCAACCCUGAUCCAGCCAUCCCGCGUGUGCGAUGAAGGCCUNCGGGUUNUNACGCACUUUUGGCAGGGNCGAAAAGGCGCCGGAUAAUACCUGGCGCUGCUGACGUUACCUGCAGAAUAAGCCCCGGCUAACUACGUGCCCGCCGCCGCGGUAAUACGUAGGGUGCCAGGGUUAAUCGGAAUUACUGGGCGUAAAGCGUGCGCAGGGGGUUCGGAAGGAAAGAUGUGAAAUCCCAGGGCUUAACCUUGGAACUGCAUUUUUAACUGCCGGGCUAGAGUAUGUCAGAGGGGGGUAGAAUUCCACGUGUAGCAGUGAAAUGCGUAGAGAUGUAGAGGAAUACCGAUGGCGAAGGCAGCCCCCUGGGAUAAUACUGACGCUCAUGCACGAAAGCGUGGGGAGCAAACAG
rnacentral:rRNA from 1 species